rnacentral:rRNA from 1 species
GAUGAACGCUAGCGGCAGGCCUAAUACAUGCAAGUCGAGGGGCAGCGGGGGUAGCAAUACUCGCCGGCGACCGGCGCACGGGUGCGUAACGCGUAUGUAAUUUGCCCACUACAGGGGGAUAGCCCGGAGAAAUUCGGAUUAAUACCCCAUAAAACAGGGAUCCCGCAUGGGAAUAUUGUUAAAGCUCCGGCGGUAGUGGAUGAGCAUGCGUCCGAUUAGCUAGUUGGUGAGGUAACGGCUCACCAAGGCGACGAUCGGUAGGGGGUCUGAGAGGAUGAUCCCCCACACUGGUACUGAGAUACGGACCAGACUCCUACGGGAGGCAGCAGUAGGGAAUAUUGGGCAAUGGACGCAAGUCUGACCCAGCCAUGCCGCGUGCAGGAAGAAGGCUUUCUGAGUUGUAAACUGCUUUUGAAUGGGAACAAAUAACCCUUGCGAGGGUAGCUGAGUGUACCAUUAGAAUAAGCACCGGCUAACUCCGUGCCAGCAGCCGCGGUAAUACGGAGGGUGCAAGCGUUGU